GGUUCACCCUGUAUCAGACUCUGGAGCCCAUGGUGUCCAGGUCUAUCUGCCUGGCCAAGGGGAGGUGAGUUAAGGAAGGGCAUGGUGGGGAAAGAUGGUGGAAGCCAAAGGAGGCAAACAGGACGGGACCCCUGUGCACUGAGUGAUCCGGUAUCUUACCUCUUUUGUCACUCACAGGUGUGGUAUGACAUUCAAAGCUACCAGAAGCAUCAUGGUCCCCAGACCUUGUACCUGCCUGUAACUCUAAGCAGUAUCCCUGUGUUCCAGCGUGGAGGGACAAUCGUGCCUCGAUGGAUGCGAGUGCGGCGGUCUUCAGAAUGUAUGAAGGAUGACCCCAUCACUCUCUUUGUUGCACUUAGCCCUCAGGGUACAGCUCAAGGAGAGCUCUUUCUGGAUGAUGGGCACACGUUCAAC
rnacentral:sRNA from 1 species